rnacentral:lncRNA from 13 species
AUGGGGAAAGAAGAGAAUUGGGGCAUAGAAAGAGAGAGAGAGAGAGGCAGAGGAUUAGGAGGGUGGCGUCAUUUAGGUGGACCUGUAUCUGAGCGUUGCAACUUCAGACUCCUUCAGCCUGUCUGGCCUCAGUACCAUGAAACCAGUCAGACUCAUGAUCCAGAUUGCCCCCAGCCUCUCGUUCUCUCUGUUCCACUUCACUCCCCAGUGACAGAUGGAAUGGGGUUGGUGGACUGAGAGACCAGUAUCCCCAGUUACCAUUUACCCAGCAACAGGAUCAACAUAUGACCCAUAUCUCCCGUAAGUGACCUGCACCUUCACACACAUGCACCUACUGCACACACACACACACACACACACACACACACACACACACACACACACACACACACACACAGCCACCGUUCAUCCACAUUAAUGGUUAACUGACACAAUUACUCACGUAAGGUGUCUGUCUACCCUCACCUGUUGAAUAUAUUGUAUGCAGGCGUGUUUGCACCUUCACCCAUGGAAUCUGAUCCACCCUGCCUAUGUGGCGGUAUCGUCUGACCUCUGGUAUAUUAUAUUACCAUUGGAAGGUAACUACAUUGAUCUUCUAAGGUAAACUACACAGAUCAGAUGAUUGAGUAGAAGAAAGGUCACGAUAGAGUUAACUCUCCCCUUUGCUGGGUCUACAAGGCCUUGUAGGGAUGUGAGCUUUCAGUGUCCAGUAGGGAUGUGAGCUUUCAUACUGUCCAGUAGGGAUGUGAGCUUUCAUACUGUCCAGUAGGGAUGUGAGCUUUCAUACUGUCCAGUAGGGAUGUGAGCUUUCAAACUGUCCAGUAGGGAUGUGAGCUUUCAAACUGUCCAGUAGGGAUGUGAGCUUUCAUACUGUCCAGUAGGGAUGUGAGCUUUCAUACUGUCCAGUAGGGAUGUGAGCUUUCAUACUGUCCAGUAGGGAUGUGAGCUUUCAUACUGUCCAGUAGGGAUGUGAGCUUUCAUACUGUCCAGUAGGGAUGUGAGCUUUCAUACUGUCCAGUAGGGAUGUGAGCUUUCAUACUGUCCAGUAGGGAUGUGAGCUUUCAUACUGUCCAGUAGGGAUGUGAGCUUUCAUACUGUCCAGUAGGGAUGUGAGCUUUCAUACUGUCCAGUAGGGAUGUCAGCUUUCAUACUGUCCAGUAGGAAUGUCAGCUUUCAUACUGUCCAGUAGGGAUGUCAGCUUUCAUACUGUCCAGUAGGGAUGUCAGCUUUCAUACUGUCCAGUAGGGAUGUCAGCUUUCAUACUAUCCAGUCAGCAGAGACUCUGGUUCAGAAUGAGAAUAGUAACAUUGGGCAUAGCUCCAGACUGUUACAACACAGUGAAUCAAUGUUUUAUAUGAGAAGAACGGUAGGAGUGAGUAUUUUUCCAGUGAACAUGUGGGACAGACAGACAUAGGACUCUGUUUCUCCUUUCAAAACCGUGUUCUCAUAGUUGACCCUGUCCCCAGUUGCCCGCAAAAAAGGAUUUCCUGUGAGCUCUCUGAAUGGUCUCUAGCGUGUGUGUGUGUGUGUGUGUGUGUGUGUGUGUGUGUGAUUAUAGCAGCAGCAGUGGUCAGAGACCCAGCAGAAACAACUAUGGAGAUUUCCCCUGAGUUUAGUCCUCUCGUAACAAUGCUGCAUUGUACUGUGUGCAUCUGGUGUGGAGUCAUGUCUCCCAAACACACGCGCGCACACACAAUUCACAACCACUGUCUACCUGCUACACGGCUUGGUGUCUCACUCCGACACUAUGCCGACACUAAGUGGGUGGACUAAAACAGACUAUUUAGUACAUGUGUGGUCCAAGUAUAGAAAGAGAGAGGAGGAAAUGGGAAUAGUUGUUUUCUAAAAAGGCAGGAGGAG